CUUCAAAGAUCUGCCCGUUCCACGCCCGGAAGCGCACAGCCCGCUUGGCUGGGGUCUGCCCCGUGCCCUCCUGCCACACGGUCAUGUUAAGGCAGUGGAUGGUGAUGUGCUGUGUCACUUCAGAGCUUAGCAGGUGCAGAAAAUUCAUCUGGACCCGGCUGACAGCAAACUCGACCUGUGGCAGAAACACGGCAGUGAGUGCUGAGGAGCCCUAAGCCCCCACCCUGGACCCCAAUAAAAGCAGAACCCCAGGCCCCUGCACACACGCCUCUCUCCACCAGCGACCUGGCUGUGCGCCCCCGUUGUGCUGUGGGAUUUUCAGGUCCGAUCCUUCACAUUUCCAAGCGAAUGUUAGACUCAGCUUCUUAUUUUCCACAAGGAAGCCUUGAUGGGAUUUUGAUUGGGAUUGCGUUGAAUCCAGAUACCAACUGGAGGAAAACUGACAUCUUAACGAUAUUGCGCCUUUGACCAGCGAACACAGAAAUAGGCAGCCAAGGAGGCAGAAUGACUCCAAAGUCCCGGUGAACUCUGGGUGGACCUGGAAGGGGGAGGUCAGACUCCACGGGGGAGGUCAUCCUGCCUGUGUGUGUGAGGACAGCUGGACCAGUGAAACACCAGGAGCUGCGCAUUUGCAGGAAACAAGAUGACAAGAGGUGAGAGCGCAUGGGCGAGUGAGGACUUGAGAGGCACAGUGAUGAAGGACAGGAACUCGGAAGUGAAGAAUCUGGGCUGUAAGUUUGGGUCUCGGCUCUGCCCCACCUCGCCGUGUGAUUCGGAGCAGGCCCUGUGCCUUUCUGGGGCCUGGCCUCCCAGACAAGCCAUGUUGGCCCCCGGCACACCUCUAAGAGGGGUGCCAGCGCGGAUGCAGAACUGGGUUAAGACCCUUCCCUUCCGCAGACAGCAGGUGCGACGCCCAGACAGGGAGCGAACGUGGCACCCGCCAUGGGAAGGAAGGACUCAGUGAAGGCACUCAGAGGGGGACGGCGCUUCUGGCUGCCCACCCCCGCCCAGCCCACCAGCGGCCUCUGACCCCCACGCUGCUCUGUGGGCACAGGGACCUUCAGUGGCCCGAGGGCCACCCGCAGCAGGGAGGUGGUAGGGGCUGAGGCCGAGGCACUCCUGGGUCCCUGCCUGUAGGACAGAAUUCCAGAAGGGGGUAGGUGAG